UACGGGAGGCAGCAGUGAGGAAUAUUGGUCAAUGGUCGAAAGACUGAACCAGCCAUGCCGCGUGCAGGAUGAAUGUUCUAUGAAUUGUAAACUGCUUUUCUACAGGAAGAAACCUACCCUCGUGAGGGUGUCUGACGGUACUGUAGGAAUAAGCAUCGGCUAACUCCGUGCCAGCAGCCGCGGUAAUACGGAGGAUGCAAGCGUUAUCCGGAUUUAUUGGGUUUAAAGGGUGCGUAGGCGGAAUAUUAAGUCAGUGGUGAAAUCCUUCGGCUCAACCGAAGAACUGCCAUUGAUACUGAUAUUCUUGAAUGUAGUUGAGGUAGGCGGAAUGUGUAAUGUAGCGGUGAAAUGCUUAGAUAUUACACAGAACACCGAUUGCGAAGGCAGCUUACUAAACUAUGAUUGACGCUAAUGCUUUGUUGGCGUGGGGAGCGAACAGGAUUAGAUACCCUGGUAGUCCCCCCCGUUACUAUGAUCACUCGUUGUUUGUGAUAUACCAUAAGCGACCCAAG
rnacentral:rRNA from 1 species